UGGUUUAAGUGACUGAUACCGAAGACAGCAGGUGCUAAAUGCUUAAUUUCCUGCCGAGGUUCGUGUCCAUUGAGUUUUAAAUCUUUUUUCCCAGCGACACAAAAAGCAGGAAAAGAGUUUAUCAAGGCAUGACCUCUGGCAACUAGCUGGAGGUCUUAUUUUAUGGCGGU
rfam:Xenococcus sp. PCC 7305 scaffold_00213, whole genome shotgun sequence.